rnacentral:rRNA from 1 species
UACGUAGGGGGCAAGCGUUGUCCGGAAUCAUUGGGCGUAAAGCGCACGUAGGCGGAUUGUUAAGUCAGGGGUGAAAUCCUGGAGCUCAACUCCAGAACUGCCUUUGAUACUGGCGAUCUUGAGUCCGGAAGGGGCGAGUGGAAUUCCUGGUGUAGCGGUGAAAUGCGCAGAUAUCAGGAGGAACACCAAUGGCGAAGGCAGCUCGCUGGGACGUGACUGACGCUGAGACGCGAAAGCGUGGGGAGCAAACAGG